UCAUUUGGUUUCCCCAGAAUGGAGAAGGAGAUGGAAUAUUAUCCAGGAUUCCCUAAGCAAGUCCAUCUGUAUUUUCAAGUGUUUUUGGCCCAGUGGUGAGAAGUGACAGUGAGCACUCUGUGCUCUCAAAGUGGGACAGGAGCAUCCCCUGGUAGCAGAGACUGUUCUGACUGCUUCACAAAACCUGAGGGAAAGCUGCUGGACAGAAGAUAUCUCUGACCCUCCCAUGAAGGCAGAGUUAUGUCAUUUGGACAUCCAAGUUGUUGAGCACAUUGCAUAUAUCCAUCCUCUGAAUUUCAAAUAUUUCACCUGCAAUUGUUUGGCAAGGCGGGGCUGUGCACACCUGCAGCAGAAACACCAGAGCUGCUGGGACACAAAGGCAAAGAGAGGAAGCAAAAGGCUGAGAUGAGGGUGAAGCCCCAUCCUGAUAUGCCAGUAGGCAACUAAAUAAUUGAAAUAGUAUUUGCUGUCCAAUUUCCAUGUUUUCAUGGUGUCCCUUAUGAAAAACACUGCACAUUAUGAUGCCAUAAAUCCUUAUUAUCUAUGUUUUCACAACCAGAAGCUUCCCAUUACCCAAUAGAAGGGUGAAUCCCAUGAGGCACAUUAAUGGCAUUGAAAACUCCUCCUGUUAUUUUAAACCUUGAUUAAUCAACCUUACUUAGUACAUGAUAGUGGGA
rnacentral:lncRNA from 12 species